rnacentral:tRNA from 1 species
GGCCGUGCAUGGACAGGCCAUGGGUAGAGUCGACUGUUAGUCGACUCCCGCGCGCAGCGCGGGCUUUGCCUGUUCCAAUCGAAGCGCAGUCG